rnacentral:rRNA from 1 species
UACGGAGGGUGCAAGCGUUAAUCGGAAUUACUGGGCGUAAAGCGCGCGUAGGCGGCUGGGUAAGUCGAUUGUGAAAGCCCCGGGCUCAACCUGGGAAUUGCAGUCGAGACUGCUUGGCUAGAGUGUGGGAGAGGGCAGUGGAAUUCCCGGUGUAGCGGUGAAAUGCGUAGAUAUCGGGAGGAACAUCAGUGGCGAAGGCGACUGCCUGGCCCAACACUGACGCUGAGGUGCGAAAGCGUGGGUAGCAAACAGG